rnacentral:sRNA from 1 species
GCUGGGCAUGGUGGUGCACACCUGUAAUCCCAGCAGCUCGGGAGGCUGAGACAAGAGGAUCUCGAGUUCAAAGCCAGGCUCAGCAAAAGUGAGACAUAAGCAACUCAAUGAGAACCUGUCUCUA